UUUCAAGGCCAAAACAUGCAACUGCAAUUAAGAAAAUGAGAUGAAAUGAGUAUAUUGCAAAAGCCCAUGGUUUUUUCUUUACAAGUCUUGUCAACUAAAAUAAUAAUAACAUAAUAAUAAUAAUCUUGAAUAGCUCAUUAUCUCCAUCAUAUACAAACUCUUGAAAGAUGCUUUUACUCGGCUAAUCACCUGAAAAACCAGUUAUGUGCAAUG
rnacentral:misc_RNA from 1 species